GGCCUGGUGGUCUAGUAGUAUGAUUCCUUCUUAGGGCUUUCAUAGCAAUUUGGAGGAGGCCCCGGGUUCAAUUCCCGGCCAGGCCC
rnacentral:tRNA from 1 species